CCUACGGGAGGCAGCAGUAGGGAAUCUUCCGCAAUGGACGAAAGUCUGACGGAGCAACGCCGCGUGAACGAUGAAGGCCUUCGGGUCGUAAAGUUCUGUUGUUAGGGAAGAACAAGUGCUAGUUAAAUAAGCUGGCACCUUGACGGUACCUAACCAGAAAGCCACGGCUAACUACGUGCCAGCAGCCGCGGUAAUACGUAGGUGGCAAGCGUUGUCCGGAAUUAUUGGGCGUAAAGCGCGCGCAGGCGGUUUCUUAAGUCUGAUGUGAAAGCCCCCGGCUCAACCGGGGAGGGUCAUUGGAAACUGGGAAACUUGAGUGCAGAAGAGGAAAGUGGAAUUCCAAGUGUAGCGGUGAAAUGCGUAGAGAUUUGGAGGAACACCAGUGGCGAAGGCGACUUUCUGGUCUGUAACUGACGCUGAGGCGCGAAAGCGUGGGGAGCAAACAGGAUUAGAUACCCUGGUAGUCCACGCUGUAAACGAUGAGUGCUAAGUGUUAGAGGGUUUCCGCCCUUUAGUGCUGAAGUUAACGCAUUAAGCACUCCGCCUGGGGAGUCGGUCGCAAGACUGAAACUCAAAGUGUUAGUUGCGUUGUUGAGNGCGCGAGACGACGACGGAGGAGAG
rnacentral:rRNA from 1 species